GGGCCUGUAGUCUAGUAGUAAAACACCUCCCUUGCACGGAGGAGUCCCGGGUGCGAUUCCCGGCAGGUCCA
rnacentral:tRNA from 1 species